UACGGGGGGGGCAAGCGUUGUUCGGAAUUAUUGGGCGUAAAGAGCUCGUAGGCGGCUUGUCGCGUCGUCCGUGAAAACUUGGGGCUCAACCCCAAGCUUGCGGUCGAUACGGGCAGGCUCGAGUUCGGUAGGGGAGACUGGAAUUCCUGGUGUAGCGGUGAAAUGCGCAGAUAUCAGGAGGAACACCGGUGGCGAAGGCGGGUCUCUGGGCCGAUACUGACGCUGAGGAGCGAAAGCGUGGGGAGCGAACAGG
rnacentral:rRNA from 1 species